rnacentral:lncRNA from 1 species
UCCGGUCCGCCCGCUUCUCUCCUUUAUAUAGCGAGCCAACAAGCUGCGCGAGCCACCACCGCCGCCGCCGCCGCCGCCGAGAGACAGGUGGGUACGCUGCGAAGACUAGGCUUAUGUUACCCAGAGGUUAGUCCUCUACUAGGCCACGUACUUUAAAUAAUUUAUCACGCUAGUGGAAAUGCGGGGUGGAAGAAAACCCCACCAGCCUUUGGAUUGUAACAGCACAGUAACUUUCCCUGGUUUUUAAAAAUAUUGCCAAAAUACUGCGACUCCAUGUGGCCAACGUAUAGUGACUGAUCACUUUGAAAUGCAUGCCCUUGACCCACCAACUCGCAUGGCCUCUCGCUAUAAGAGAGCAAGCCGGCUGUGUUCCAUGUUCAAUUCAAUAAGUGCAAUUCAAUAAGCUUUUGACUUGUUCUGCCCAAGCAAAUCCUGCCUUUAUAUCGACCUUGCAAGCAGAACAGAGAAUGCUGUUUGGAAGGCAGAAUUCAUAGUACCUAGUUUUCUUGUCCCUGGGAAUUUUGAGGGACUUGAAAUGUCGCGUGGAUGAGUGAGGGAGUUUGUCUUCCAGAGACAAAGCAAAACGAAACGUCAAAGUUCUGUGCUGGUGAAACCAGAUUUGAAGAAUAUCAAAGGCGUCUUACCAAAGAGGAAAAAAAAUGCAUCUUGCCAAGACUUGAAGAAAGGGAUUAGAGAAACCAGAGGCCUUGAAUACUCAGAAAAUGGGAGAUUGUGAAUGGGUGUAGAGGAUAUCUAUGAACCUUGACAUUUCUUUUCACGCCAAGUCCAUUCCCCUGUUAACAGUUGCUUCCCAGUUUCCUGCACAGCUGCAUGGUCUGGGACACUUAAAGAAAAAAAUCACAGGAAAUCAGUGUUCUUGGUAUAUUAUAUAAAGUUAUGAUUCUAUCAACA